UACGAAGGGGGCUAGCGUUGCUCGGAAUUACUGGGCGUAAAGCGCACGUAGGCGGUUUAUUAAGUCGGGGGUGAAAUCCUGGAGCUCAACUCCAGAACUGCCUUCGAUACUGGGAAACUUGAGUCCGGGAGAGGUGAGUGGAACUGCGAGUGUAGAGGUGAAAUUCGUAGAUAUUCGCAAGAACACCAGUGGCGAAGGCGGCGACCUGGUCCUUUACUGACGCUGAGGCGCGAAAGCGUGGGGAGCAAACAGG
rnacentral:rRNA from 1 species